rnacentral:rRNA from 1 species
CAAUCUAUACGGUGAAACUGCGAAUGGCUCAUUAAAUCAGUUAUCGUUUAUUUGAUAGUACCUUACUACUUGGAUAACCGUGGUAAUUCUAGAGCUAAUACAUGCUAAAAACCCCGACUUCGGGAGGGGUGUAUUUAUUAGAUAAAAAACCAAUGCCCCUCGGGGCUCCUUGGUGAUUCAUGAUAACUUAACGAAUCGCAUGGCCUUGCGCCGGCGAUAGUUCAUUCAAAUUUCUGCCCUAUCAACUUUCGAUGGUAGGAUAGUGGCCUACCAUGGUGUCAACGGGUAACGGGGAAUUAGGGUUCUAUUCCGGAGAGGGAGCCUGAGAAACGGCUACCACAUCCAAGGAAGGCAGCAGGCGCGCAAAUUACCCAAUCCCGACGCGGGGAGGUAGUGACAAUAAAUACUGAUACAGGGCUCUUUUGGGUCUUGUAAUUGGAAUGAGUACAAUUUAAAUCCCUUAACGAGGAACAAUUGGAGGGCAAGUCUGGUGCCAGCAGCCGCGGUAAUUCCAGCUCCAAUAGCGUAUAUUAAAGUUGUUGCAGUUAAAAAGCUCGUAGUUGAACCUUGGGCCUGGCUGGCCGGUCCGCCUCACCGCGUGCACUGGUCCGGCCGGGCCUUUCCUUCUGGGGAUCCGCAUGCCCUUCGCUGGGCGUGCCGGGGAACCAGGACUUUUACUUUGAAAAAAUUAGAGUGUUCAAAGCAGGCCUUUGCUCGAAUACAUUAGCAUGGAAUAAUGGGAAUAGGA